GAUCAUGCUCAGGAUGAACGCUAGCGACAGGCUUAACACAUGCAAGUCGAGGGGCAUCAUGAGGUAGCAAUACCUUGAUGGCGACCGGCGCACGGGUGAGUAACGCGUAUGCAACCUGCCUGAUACCGGGGUAUAGCCUAUGGAAACGUGGAUUAACGCCCCAUAGUACUUUUAUCCUGCAUGGGAUGUGAGUUAAAUGUUCAAGGUAUCAGAUGGGCAUGCG
rnacentral:rRNA from 1 species